rnacentral:rRNA from 1 species
UACGGAGGAUGCAAGCGUUAUCCGGAUUCAUUGGGUUUAAAGGGUGCGUAGGCGGAUUGAUAAGUCAGUGGUGAAGGCCUGCAGCCUAACUGUAGAAUUGCCGUUGAUACUGUCAAUCUUGAGUAUAUUUGAUGUGGGCGGAAUGUGUCAUGUAGCGGUGAAAUGCUUAGAUAUGACACAGAACACCGAUUGCGAAGGCAGCUCACAAAACUAUAACUGACGCUGAGGCACGAAAGCGUGGGGAUCAAACAGG